rfam:Anaerolineae bacterium CG2_30_64_16 cg2_3.0_scaffold_16479_c, whole genome shotgun sequence.
GGGGGUGGUUGCGUCCCGGUGGGCGUCCCGGUCUUCAAAACCGGUGAUGGGUGCUGCUGAGGCGGCCAUGGUGGGUUCGACUCCCAUCCACUCCC